GGGCCCGCACAAGCGGUGGAGCAUGUGGUUUAAUUCGAUGCAACGCGAAGAACCUUACCAAGGCUUGACAUACUACAGAUUUCUUUGAAAAAGGAAAGUGCCUUCGGGAAUGUAGAUACAGGUGGUGCAUGGCUGUCGUCAGCUCGUGUCGUGAGAUGUUGGGUUAAGUCCCGCAACGAGCGCAACCCUUGUCAUUAGUUGCUACAUUUAGUUGAGCACUCUAAUGAGACUGCCGGUGACAAACCGGAGGAAGGUGGGGAUGACGUCAAGUCCUCAUGGCCCUUAUGGGUAGGGCUUCACACGUCAUACAAUGGUCGGUACAGAGGGUUGCCAAGCCGCGAGGUGGAGCCAAUCCCGGAAAACCGAUCGUAGUCCGGAUCGUAGUCUGCAACUCGACUACGUG
rnacentral:rRNA from 1 species